rnacentral:rRNA from 1 species
UUGGAGGGCAAGUCUGGUGCCAGCAGCCGCGGUAAUUCCAGCUCCAAUAGCGUAUAUUAAAGUUGUUGCAGUUAAAAAGCUCGUAGUUGAAUUUCGGGAUCAGGGUGUCGGUCGUGCCUCGGUACGCACUGGUAUUAUUGGUUCCUACCUUCUGAAGAACCGCGAUGUCAUUAAUUUGGUGUCGUGGGGAAUCAGGACUGUUACUUUGAAAAAAUUAGAGUGUUUAAAGCAGGCUUACGCUUGAAUACAUUAGCAUGGAAUAAUGAAAUAGGACGUUUGAUUCUAUUUUGUUGGUUUCUAGGAUCGACGUAAUGAUUAAUAGGGAUAGUUGGGGGCAUUAGUAUUCAAUUGUCAGAGGUGAAAUUCUUGGAUUUAUUGAAGACUAACUACUGCGAAAGCAUUUGCCAAGGAUGUUUUCAUUAAUCAAGAACGAAAGUUAGGGGAUCGAAGACGAUCAGAUACCGUCGUAGUCUUAACCAUAAACUAUGCCGACUAGGGAUCGGAUGAUGUUAAUUUUUUAAUGACUCAUUCGGCGCCUUACGGGAAAC